rnacentral:rRNA from 1 species
AAUCAACGCUGGCGGCGCGCUUAACACAUGCAAGUCGAGCGAGAAAGGGGAGCAAUCCCUGAGUACAGCGGCGUACGGGUGAGUAACACGUGGGUAAUCUGCCUUUUAGUGGGGAAUAACCCUGGGAAACCGGGGCUAAUACCGCAUAAUCCUGUGAAGGGAAAGCAGCAAUGCGCUGAAAGAGGAGCCCGCGGCCGAUUAGCUAGUUGGUGAGGUAACGGCUCACCAAGGCGGUGAUCGGUAGCCGGCCUGAGAGGGCACACGGCCACACUGGCACUGAAACACGGGCCAGACUCCUACGGGAGGCAGCAGUGGGGAAUCUUGCACAAUGGAGGCAACUCUGAUGCAGCGACGCCGCGUGAGCGAU